UUUUUAGUAUAAGUAUGCCCCAUGACUUAUUUGGGACAUGCUUAUACUAAAA
rnacentral:pre_miRNA from 1 species